rnacentral:miRNA from 1 species
UAGGUUUGUGCAAAAGUAAUUGAGGUUUUUGCCAUUGAAAGUAAUGGCAAAUUGCAAUUACUUUUGCACCAACUUAAUA